GCGUGCGUGAAGAAGGCCUUAGGGUUGUAAAGCGCUUUCACUGGUGAAGAUGAUGACGGUAGCCAGAGAAGAAGCCCCGGCUAACUCCGUGCCAGCAGCCGCGGUAAUACGGAGGGGGCGAGCGUUGUUCGGAAUUACUGGGCGUAAAGGGCGCGUAGGCGGGACGUCAAGUUAGGGGUGAAAGGCCUGGGCUCAACCUAGGAACUGCCUCUAAAACUGACGUUCUAGAGUCCGGGAGAGGAUGGCGGAAUUCCCAGUGUAGAGGUGAAAUUCGU
rnacentral:rRNA from 1 species